CACGUAGGGCGCAAGCGUUGUCCGGAAUUAUUGGGCGUAAAGAGCUCGUAGGCGGUCUGUCGCGUCUGCUGUGAAAACUCAGGGCUUAACCCUGAGCUUGCAGUGGGUACGGGCAGACUAGAAUGCGGUAGGGGAGACUGGAAUUCCUGGUGUAGCGGUGAAAUGCGCAGAUAUCAGGAGGAACACCGGUGGCGAAGGCGGGUCUCUGGGCCGUAACUGACGCUGAGGAGCGAAAGCAUGGGGAGCGAACAGG
rnacentral:rRNA from 1 species